CACUGGAACAGGUUGCCCAGAGAGGYUGUGGAGUCUCCUUCUCUGGAGAUAUUCAAAACCACUUGGAUGCAAUCCUGUGCAAUGUGCUCUAGGUGACCCUGCUUGAGCAGGGGGGUUGGACUAGAUGAUCUCCAGAGGUCCCUUCCAACCUCAGCGAUUCUGUGAUUCUGUGAAAGGAAGUCAUGCCCUACCUCUGCUAAUUAAACAUUUGACCRUUCCAUAGACUUUCUUCAGCUGAAGCCAAGAAUAUCUCCCUCCCGCCCCACUUCCUCCUCAGAGACCCUCCUGGUGUAAGAAAAAAAAAAAAAUUAACAGAAGCUGACUGCUAUGAUCUCCAACUGAAACAGAUUGUAUAUCAGCUAACUACUGAAAUCAUCAAUUUUUAAACUUGCUGUGUUUAUUUUCUGUGAUGAACACUAUGUAGUUACAUUUACACUAAUAAUCCAUUUUAAAUCCUGAAURUCAGCAGUUUAAAACCACUAAUUAGAAUAUCAUUACUUUGUAUUUAAUUAAGGCAUGUGAAUAAGAGCACCCUAAUUAUCUGACAUUGAAUGGAAGAAACUUUCCUCUUCAGGAAAUAUCUGUCAGAUGUCUUCUCUUCUUUAAAGAUAUUACAGUAAUAUGAUCACUGGCAAGAGGGUAAGAAAGAGAAAAGUUAGUUAAGAACUCAUCUGGUGCUUUCACUUGUUUUGUGAGAAUGCCCCUAUCGAAGCAGUUUUGAAAGCAAUGAUUUACCAGUAGAAUACCUCAACGUUACGUGUUCUGACCAAGUCACCAAAUAUGCCAGGUGGGCUUAUCACCAGAUGAAAGCAUUAAAAAGAAAAAACAAAGCAAAACAAAAAAUCAACAUUUAAAAGCAACCGGAUACUACAUCAACCUGACAGUACAGGAUCUAUAUUGCAUACCCCUGAGUUAACAUGAUUGGGUAAAGCAGCACCAGUUAAAAAAUAUUCUGCAAUGCCAGCACUGCACUGUGGUCCUAUACUAUGGUAUAGUUUCAUAUGCCCACAGAUUUUUCUUUAAGAGCACUUAUUUCAAACAUAAUUAAACACAGGAAUUUUUAGUUGCAUUGGUAUUUAAGUGGAAAAAAUAGUGAAAAAUAGUAUAAUGGACUACRCUGUCAGUAUAGUCCAUCUGUAGUGUUAAUAUACUA
rnacentral:lncRNA from 1 species